UCGAGAAUUUUUCUCAAUGGGGGAAACCCUGAAGGAGCGACGCCGCGUGGGGGAUGAAUGGCUUCGGCCCGUAAACCCCUGUCAUUUGUGAACAAAUUGAUUCACCUAACACGUGAAUCAUUGAUUGUAGCGAAAGAGGAAGGGACGGCUAACUCUGUGCCAGCAGCCGCGGUAAUACAGAGGUCCCAAGCGUUGUUCGGAUUCACUGGGCGUAAAGGGUGCGUAGGCGGCGAGGUAAGUCUGACGUGAAAUCUCCGAGCUCAACUCGGAAACUGCGUUGGAUACUAUCUCGCUCGAGGAAUGGAGGGGAGACUGGAAUACUUGGUGUAGCAGUGAAAUGCGUAGAUAUCAAGUGGAACACCAGUGGCGAAGGCGAGUCUCUGGACAUUUCCUGACGCUGAGGCACGAAAGCCAGGGGAGCAAACGGGAUUAGAUACCCGCGUAGUCC
rnacentral:rRNA from 1 species